AACAGAGGGUGCGAGCGUUAAUCGGAAUUACUGCGCGUAAAGCACACGUAGGUGGCGACGUAAGUCGGGUGUGAAAGCCCCGGGCUCAACCUGGGAAUUGCAUUCGAGACUGCAUUGCUGGAGUACGGAAGAGGAGGGCGGAAUUCCCGGUGUAGCGGUGAAAUGCGUAGAUAUCGGGAGGAACAUCAGUGGCGAAGGAGGCCCUCUGGUCCAGUACUGACUCUCAAGUGCGAAAGCGUGGGGAGCAAACAGG
rnacentral:rRNA from 1 species